GCAUCUACCUCCUCAGAGUUUGACAUCCAUCCAUCCAUCCAUCCAUCCAUCCAUGGCGUCUAGGGCUAGAGGAAGAUGACGACGGUGACGCAAGCGUGAAGUGUGUGUGAUGUCAGCACGUUGGUACGAAGCUAGCUAGAAAACGUGCCAUAGCUAUAUAUAGGAAUCUGUACGUUGCUAUGUUUAUGCAUGCAUGCGUGGUCCUAUAUAUAUCUGCAUGGGUUUAUAAUUAUAUACGUUGUUCAAGUUAAUUUGGUCUUUUAUUUCGUUAAUUAUGUGGUGAAAUAUAUAGCCGGCCGGUGGCUUGAUUGUGUGAUGCAAA
rnacentral:lncRNA from 1 species